rnacentral:rRNA from 1 species
UACGUAGGGUGCGAGCGUUGCCCGGAUUUAUUGGGCGUAAAGGGUGCGUAGGCGGGUCUUUAAGUCAGGGGUGAAAUCCUGGAGCUCAACUCCAGAACUGCCUUUGAUACUGAGGAUCUUGAGUUCGGGAGAGGUGAGUGGAACUGCGAGUGUAGAGGUGAAAUUCGUAGAUAUUCGCAAGAACACCAGUGGCGAAGGCGGCUCACUGGCCCGAUACUGACGCUGAGGUGCGAAAGCGUGGGGAGCAAACAGG